AUGGCAGAACCAUAAGUUUAGUGUGUUUUUUUGGUUUGAACAAAAGAGUUACAAUGGUUACCAUGUUAUUUGGAGCAUUACAGAAUUGAAACACUAAAAAUUAUAAAUUUUAUAAAAUUUAUAAAACUAAAAUCCACUAGUGCAGCUAACUGUGUGUGUAUAUAUGUAUAUAUAUUUAGAUACCUUAACUGACUUAACACAGGAAAUGUACAAAAAAACAGGCUUUUUCAGUUCAGUCCACAAAUUUUUUAUGAGGUUCAGGUCAGAGCUUUGUGAUGGCCACUCCAAUACUUUUAGACUUUUUUUAAUACAACUUUGGGAGGUAUGCUUUGGAUCAUUUUCCUGCUGGAAGACCCAGUUUCUGGCUUAUGUCUUAGGUUUUUGCUUCAGUAUUCCUAGAUAAUCCUCCUUCUUUGUGAUGCCAUCUAUUUUCUGAAGUGCACCAGUCCCUUUUCCAGCAAAACACCCCCACAACAUGAAGCUGCCACCCACUGGGUGCUUUACAGUUGGGAUAGUGAUGUGUGUUGCUUUUUUUUGUUUGUUUGUUUUUUUUUUUAAUUAAAAGCCUCACCUUUUUUUCCUUCAUACAUAGUGCUGGAAAUUUUGGCCAGUUCAGUUUUUGUUUCAUUUGACCAGAGAAAAUUACUCCAAAAAGCUAGCUCUUCACUCUGGCUUUUUUAUGCUAGACUCUGUCCAAGUCUUUUUUUUUCCCUGAGGUUUUGGCUGUGUUGCUUGGAUUUUCACAUGGUGUCAAGGGCAAAAAGGCACUGCCUCUAAAAUACAACCAUACGUGCACUUGCAUUUAACUAUUAAUUAUGACAAGUGGCCAAUGAGAAGCUUCUAAAAGUUAUUACAUCAAUUUCUGGAAUCUUUUAGACUGUUUAAAAACACAAUCAGUUUGGUGUAUGUAAACUUUUGACCCACUGUGAUUCUGAUAUACUGAAUUAAAGCCCGAAAUAAAGCUGUCUCUAAUCAACUGUUUUAAAAUUACCUAUGAUGUGAAAAAAGUAGUCCUAAUUGACUUGCUAAAUUAAUGUAUGAUGAAAUGCGUGGAGUUGUUUUUAUUUUUAUUUUUUUUUAUACAACUUACUUUUUGUAUCCACCGAUUAUGCAAAAUCCACUGUCUUAAAUCUCUAACUGUUGGUUGCAUUGUGCACUUUUUACAGUAAAGGAAAUUUAGGACAUCAGAAUAGAGCAAGCAGCCUUAAAAAAAAACGAGCAAACAUUAGUGGUGCAUCUGAACUCAAAUAUUCCACAAGCAUGUGAAAGUAGUAUUAAAUCUGUAGUUGCACUAUCACAGCAUGCAUAAUUGUAACCAUUCAUAUUUUUCUCACUCUGGUAUGAAACACGCCACAUUCUAGUGCUUCUCAGCAGUCCAGCUUAACCAUCUCACGUGUAACAGUGCUAUCGCGUAAUGGGUUUUAUCAAAGUCGUUCAUUUAUUCAUCUUUUGUAACUUCUUUAUCCUGGUUAGGGUCGCGGUAAUCAGUAGUCAUAUUUUCCUCUUUUUGGGUUACCUCGUAGGGCUUUUAUUGUGAAUAUGCCUACUUCCGCUUUCUGUCUCGGAACGCCCUCGGUACAGCUGGUCCGUCCAUUGCUUACUAAGACGGCGCACUGUACUGACAAUGCGUGGCGAUUAGCUAAAACUAACCAUUGUGUGAAUGUGAUGUCCAUGGUCACAAUGCUGUGCAACCUGGAAUGAUGACUCAAGUAAGUCCUCACUGCUCAUGAGUAACAUGUUGUUUUUAAAUGCACGAAUACUUAGCAGUGGUAAACUAGUCAAGCUCAUUAGCAGGUCCCUGGUUAGGUCUAGAAGGAAUGACAGAAAACAGAUUUUGCUAGAUAAGGUGUUGUUGUCUUUGAUUUUCAAGAUGUAAAAUGGUCUUUCGCUGGUCUUUAUUGACUAGUGGUUCUGACAGCGCUCACUAGAGCCAAAAUUGUUUUUCUCGGCAAAGAUUUGUUACCAGGAUGCGCCAUCUGCACUAGAAGGCCUACUGCGCAGGCCUAGGGUGAGCGCGCGCGCGCCAGCCACACUAUUUGCAAUUAUUUAGCAAACGGAAAACCUGCCCUGCUCGUAAGUUGAGAUUUAUGCAUGAGAGAGCUGUUGCACUGUUCAUGUCAAGUCGGAAUUAAUCAUGAAACAGUUCGCCACUUGUGAGGCAAGCCUAUUUCCAUAAAUUUACCACCUAGUGGCGCGAUUCAAUCCUUUUGAACGAAUCCUUUAGUUGAAUCAAUCGGAUCAACUCGCAAAAGACGGUUUUUCAGCUGCACGAUACAGCAAGCAUAAUAGGUGUUCAUGUGCUGCAUUUCACUUGCUUCGUAAAUGUUAAUUUGCAGGUCGGAAUGACGUCAUUUUCGACCUCGGCGAAUUCGACGUACGAAGUGGGGAAAAAACAUGGACGCUUCCAUGUUCGUCUUUUGUUAGCAACAAGCUAGCCAGCUAACUGUGAUGAGUGAUGUAUAUGUUCUUCCUCAGCCAGCGAGCUGUAUAGUCACUGUUUUAGGUUUAAUGAGCGAAUAUGUCUGUAUGUUGAUUGAUCUAAGGCUAAUACUUGUGUAUAUACAGCAGAACUCAUUUAAAGGCAAAACGAUAAGAAGUGCUACUUUGUUUAUUUCUGAUGCUGUGCGCAGCCAUGGUGAUUUGAUGUCACUCCGUGAAUGGGAACGAAACUUUUAGUUAUGAAGAGAAGACUACCCCAAGUUGACGAGUUGGAGUUUAAAGUUGAGGUGACAUUUUCUUUGGCUUUUACUGUUUGCGGGUUGGGAAUUACAAGUCGCAGCCAAAAGUCCAACGCAGUGUAAUACAACAGUUAGUUCCGGUCCAUUAAUUUGACUGGUUGAGCAGCAUUCUAAGAGUGCUUAUAUUUCCUAUAACUGCACUGAGACAUUUAACUGUGUGCAUCACUCCACUCGUCUGUGUUUGCCACAUAAAAUUCCUCCUCCUAGUUUGAAAGAGUUACUACAGUAGAGUUAGAGACAUCAUCAGCAGACAUGGCAAACAGUACUUUUCAGGAAUAUAACUUUUGGCUUAAAAUUUGAAGCUCCUCAGUUGAAGAUGAAAAGGAUGAAGGGACGCCUGUUUUACUGGAAGCACCUUUAACAGGAAUGGACAACUCAAUGUGAGCGACCUAGCUGAUGUGCUAUAAAUUGAUUGAGCUCGACUCAUUGAUGGAGACGCUGAGGGAGGCAGGCAGGUGCUCUCCUUGCAGCCUGUUACGAAGGUCUGAUUUGACCUGAAAAUUAAGUUAUGUACGGAGUCAGAACGUGCAAGAUUAUAUGGGAUAUUUGUCAUGCUGAAGUGGGAGUUAUGAACACGGGAUAUGAUUGAUGGAUCUGUAGUGAAUCAUCUGUCUGUGAGUCAUAGUCAUCUAUCCAGACAUCUAUCCAAACAUAGUCAUCUAUCUAGACAGAGGGAGAGUAUACGACACUUCAUGCUCAUCAGAUAAUUUUGUGGAAAAUGUAUAGAAAUGAUGAUUCUGUCUAAGGAAAUGUCAAGCAAACAUGUGGGAAUCCAUCAGUGUUUCGGCAGAUGUGCACACCUUUGAACUAAAAGUCCUAAUGAACGUUGUUUAGCGAAGCUCUGUGAUCACAAAUAAAUGGAAAUAGACGUGAUUGUAUAUGUAUGUGUCUCGUUAUUUCAUUCGAAAUAUCAAUAACUACCGGUUUGAUUUUGCAUGUUUGAUAUGUACUCCUGACAGAAAUGAAGAAAUUACUGUCACUGUACAUUUUUAUCAUGUGGUCAAAUGUUGAAGCUAAAGUCCUAAAUCUUUCUAAUGAUUUGCACUUUAAAUAAGAUCAUUAUGGUAAUAGCAUGCAGUGAAUGUAAACAACAACAACAAUUAAGAGGUUAAUGUUACUUACCUCAAACAACGUUGUGUCCUCAGAAUGCCUUGGUGUCUCAGAAUACAGUACUAUGGUUCCAGUGUGUGUGUGAGCAGGCAUGCGUACAUCAGGGGGAGGGAAGGGGAGCGGUCUGACUGAUUGGAGUGAGAGAUGCUUUACCAAAACAAUGGGGGCAAAACAGAGAUCUUUUAUGCUAUUAUGAGAAGUGUAAAAAAAAAAAAAAAUCGGUUUAUUAUGAAACUGGCGGGACAAAUUAGACUGUGGCGGGCUGCCACAUUCUAGGUAAUUAAUGGGAAACACUGCAUAUACCUUUGCUAGUUCCUCAGCAACAUUGAGAGACUCAGUGGAACAACAGAAGUCAACAAAAUGAACAUGAAAAUAUGCAAAACAUUUAUUGAAUAUUAAUUUACAGGACCUAGAUUGUAAAUCUGCUAUUAAAAAAACAUAAAUUGAUCAGGGCUUGGGUUAGUAGAAAAUCCAUAAUGUCCAUUUGGGGUUUUGCGCUCCCAAAAAGUUUGGGAACCCCUGAAAGUAUUGUAACAGGAUUUUAAAAAGUUGACAUUAGGCCUAAUUGUGACAAGCAAUGACUGUCAGUUCCUUUUCUUUUGGUUGCUUUUUCUGUCAUUUUUGACAAUGUUUCUGAGCCACAAAAUAGAAUUUAUUAAAUUGAUUAUAGAGUUGUUUGACCUUGUUUUUCCACUUAUUUCUAGAUUAAUGGUUAAAAAAAAGUAAAUUUCAUCCAUUUUAAAUAAAAUCUAUAACACAAUAAAAAAUGAAAAAACUAAAGGGGUCUAAAGUUCUUUCAAAUGUGGAAAAGUAAAAAAAAAAAAAUAAUAAUAAGACAACCUUUUACACCACAUGGGUCAUGGAUUUAUUUUAGUCUUACACUGUCAAAACCCAUCUUUGUCUUGGUUUAUCAGCCGCAAACAGUCCAUCUUACAGUAGUGAGAAAACACUGAAAAUUAGGCCUAAUAAAUAUAUAGUGUUAGAGGCCAUUUAGCAGUAAAAGAUUAACCUGUAGGCUAUGAGAGAGAGAGAUUCCAUUGGAUCAAAAGUUUAAAAAUGCAGAAGUUUACUGUGUCUUUAAACAGUCAAAGAUUACAGAAAUUGAUGUAAUUUUACCUAUAGCUGUAAAAGGGCCUCCCUUUAGAGACAGCGCCUUAUUACCCUUGCUACCAUGGGAAUAUCCAAGCAACUCACCCAGGACCUCAGAAAGAAAAAUUCUGGACCUCCGCAAGCCCGGUUCCUCCAUAGGAGCAAUUUCCAAAACGGCCAUAAGCAGCUGUAUGCAAAUAUAAAAAUCUUGGGAUAGCACAGGCACAAAAAAAAAAGAAAGCACAGAGAAGAGGUACAAAUUAACUCUCAGGGAUGAAUGAAUUUUGUUUUGAAAGUUUCAGCUGAUCCCCAAGACAACAGUAAAGCAACUGGUCAAAAUAGUAGGGGUAUAAUGAUAUGGGGUAUCAUUUCAUUUGAUAUGAAGCUCUCAAUUCGAUACAUAUGUGAAUUGAACAGUAUUUUUGGCUGCAUAAAAGUAGACUAUUUUUCAUAAAAUACUGCUAAUACUGCAUGAAGUGAAAUAAACUUUUAAACUUAAUCAAGCCCACUCUCCUGCCUCUGAAAAAGUAUCUUCCUCUUUGGCUUAAAUCAGGAGAGGCUAAGCUUUUUCAAAUGAUGUUUUUCAUGAGCCGACAGGCUAACAUACUAGCAUAUUAACUGCUACAUUGAGCAGCAAGCAAAAACUGGAAUAUUCCCCCAAAACUGGUGUGUGGGGUCAUUUCGGCUUCCACCAAAAAAAUAGUGCUAAUGCCGCAAUCAUAUGGAUAAUAUGGUGCAAGCAAGCAAACUCUGCUGCUUUCAGGUAGCAUUUUUUUGCUGGGCUAAAGAAGUCACUGCACCCAGUGUGCAUAUUCUGUAGUGGAGAAUACAGGAUUCAAAAACACAUCUGGAGCUAGAGAGAGCUAUGUGAUUCUUAGAGCACAAUUAGCCAACGGCAGAAUGUGAAAAGCCCUGUGCUUCAGAACGCCACCUAGAGUCACAUCAGUGAAAGCUUAGUCAUGUUUAAUUUUGUUACAUUCUAAUGCACACUUUUUUUUCAUUAUAUGCUACUAAGAGUCUGAAUAGAUAAUGUUAACACUGUCACAAUAACAGUUAUUGUACUUUUAUCAAGUUGAAUGUAUUAACAAGGAGAAAAUGGAAACCUAAGGCACAUUCAGACAAUGCUUAUUUUUGCUGGAUUUAAAAUGUAUCGUAUCACGACACCAAAGUUUUGUUAUUGAAAUUGAAUUUUUGUGAAUUGAAUAUUUGUGGAUGCACAAAAAAGCACUGAUAAUUAAACUACAGUCCUUAAUAAAUUAUAAAAAGCUCCCAUUCACUGCUCCUUACGGUUUCUGUAUGCCUUUAGGCAUAUUGUUUUACUUACGUUUAAUUUGAUCGUACCAUUUUAUUUUGACUUUACAGAUCUUACUUGUGCUACCACUGUUUAUCACUGCGUCUACACUGUGAGUGAGGAGCACAAUGCGGCGUUCAUUAGAAAUAGAUUGCUCCCGUUAUAAUCAACGACAGAAUUUACACUGCAAGUGUGUAAAUACAGCAUAUAAUGAAAAUAAACUUGAAUGAAACUAAACCUUUUAAGCUAUUUGCAGCAAUUUCCCCAACCCCAUGCACACAGUGGAACAUUUUGGAUAUAUACUUUGGAUAUAAACAUAAGUUUGUGCUUGUGCAUCACUGUUGUGCUUCCGUGCCACCCAAGCUCUGCUUUGCAAAGUUUGCAGGUUACAGUCUUCUUCACGGCAUUUAAUAUAAAAUGCUCCCAUGCCUUAGAGGACUUGGGUCGCACACUUUUUUCCACUUUCACUUGAUGAUUACACCUCCCUCUGAUGGUGACUGAGGUCAUGUUGGGCAUAAAAGGUAUCAUUGGCAUAAACAGCAAAAUGAAGAAAUUCAUUUUUGUUGACUCUAGGUAUUUUGUUAAAGCUAGCGGCGUUGCAUUAUGUGCGUUUGAUGCCAUGUGCCAUUGACUGGGAAACAGCUUAUAUUUCCGGUUUGUGAAAAAACGUUAGUGUUCCAUUUGAGAUGAUACUGCCCUUCUAAAAUGUAUACACUAGAUGGUAGAUUACAUAGUGUAUAGUAUAAGUGCGUAGUGUAUAGUACAUCAUUUGGGACACAACUUGGGUCUGUACUUUCUGGCAUUUUUCCAAUGUGUGUUUUCACAACAGAAGUAACGCAAUGAGUGAUGUUAGGAGCAGUGUGAAGACACAACUGAGUGAAAGUUGAGUAAAUGUUUGUAAAUUGUAGCUUACAGUACUUAGUAGUUUUUGAACAACUCUUAUUGAGAAAUAAAAAUUUAAAGCACCUAAGAGGAAUUAGAGGAACUAAAAACAGAAUAUUAUACACGUUCUCAGGAAUUUUUGAAUAUUGUUUUCCAGAGGAUUCUUUUCUCUCUUUAUGUGGUGACAGUUAGACAUCCAAACUGUCCAUCUAAAAAGCGUAUGAGCGCAUCAUUUUGCUUUAAUUAACCAACCCUGAUACCAGUAUGCUGUUAAAUUUGCAUUUACAUUUGUUUGAGAUCCUAUCACAAUGCAAGUCUGGGUACCUCUAGAUGUGUUACAAUGUUUGUGUGCGCUUCCACCUGUAUAUUUUUUUUUUCUUCCCCCACUGUAGUCAAAUUACAGUAUAUCUAACCAUGAUUUGACUGCCAGACACAUUUAAUACUCACUGUUUAAUUGGUAAGUUAAACCCUUGCAAGUGUAUGUUGCACUAAAUGAAAGUUUAAUGUGAAAUUGAAAUAAUGUGUACUUCUAAUGAAAGUCUGUCUACAUUAAUACCUGUGGGGUUUUUACCGCAUUAAUGUCAGUUACACAAAAUUGAACAGGCUGCUCCUUCCCUCAUCAUUCAUUGUUGCCCAAGAUGUUUGGCUGAUGCUAUUUGUGAACUCAGUGUCCAUGUGAAUCAGCUUGGUGCGAACGGUUGAUAGCAGGGAGGAAUCACUGGUCCUAGGUAAGAGGGAAGUUUAGGAUCACUUUCUAAUGUCUUCCUCUCACAUUAUUGGUUUCAUUUUUUGCAUUUCCUUGUACAGUUUGUCUAGUCUCUCUUCACCCUGCUGUUCAAUGCUCUGUAUCUUUUGCUAUCUACUGAUAUUCAAUCUGGUAUUCAAAGGGGUUUUGGAUUUGGGUGGUAGACUCAAUUCAAUUUUAUUUGUAGACAGUAGGCCUAAUUUAUCAGUCUCUUUUGCGUGUAAAUGUCUUCUUAAGCCAAACUGAACUACAAUUUUUCAAUGGAUUUACAAAAGUUUUGGAAACACUGGUUUUCUUUUUACUCGCACGCAUAUGAAGAACACCCAUAAAGUGCAAAGGGCGUUCCUGACACAGCUCAUUUGCAUUUAGUGACACCCAUGAAACUCCAUAAAAGGUCGAGUGCACAUAGGGCUGGAAGCACGAAAUGACAACUACACGGUGAAAGAAAAGGCAGAAGUGGAAGUUAUUUUGACUCACUUCUAUGCCAAAAAAAAAUUAACAAUGUAGCAUCACCUGAAAAAGUCAAAAACUAGAGACUAAUUACAGAAAAGGUGAAUUAGGUAUGAGUUAAAUGAGAUGACAAGAAAAUGGUGUGACUUAUCUACAUUGUACCCAGGUGAUCAUGCAAAUAACACAGGGGAAACUUCUAUUUUAAAAUAGUUUUAAGUGUCUUGGCAGACAGGCUGGAGAUGCACAGCAUUAAAAGAAGAUGCUGUGGCAAAGACCUGAUUUAUAAGACAGGUUUCAUCCUCCCAAGAAAAACCCAUAUCGGUUAUUAAACCUUCCCCUCAUAAGUGUGACCUUACUCUUUAGUCAGUUGAGGCUUUUUAUUUAUUUAUUUAUUUAUUUUUAAAAAACAGCUUACAGCUAUGCACAGACAGAGCAGCCAGUUGUCUGUUUAUGUGGCAGCAUUUCGUUGUAGUAUUACUAUGUGUGUUUGUGUUCGUUUGCUUUCUUUGUUUUUCUUAUUCUUUAAUUAAUGCUAUUAAUAAAUAAUGCUAUUAACAAAUUUCUCAAUGAUAUUUUUAAUCUGACCUAGUGAUUCAGUGAUGAGUAUGAUGCAAUGAAAGUUGAAUCUUUAGAAACCUGAUUGAGACAGAUGAAGAACUGAGGGAGCUCGACAGACUCAAGAAUGAAAGGUCUUUUGCACCUGUUCCCACAGCCUGUUCCCUCAGUUUUGCUAACCAAAUUUUGGCCACCAUUGAUUGUCGCAUAUUAAUUAUAAAUAUUGAUGUGCAAUUUGUUCAGAGUGGAUUUUACCUUUAAAUUUUCAUGUUCAAAUUUCACAUAAAAAGCUGACACAUUUGCAAAGUGCCUUCAAAAUUAUGCCACCUGUUUUGGAAAUUAUAAAUAAUAGUUAAUGAAAAGAACACGGUAAGCAAUUUUUGUAGUGAACUCUUAAAAGAAUUCACUAUUUUCAAUACUGACAGUUCAUCCUUUUUAACUGCAGGGAAACCUGUUUGGAAAUAUGUUGAUAUGCUUUCUGUUUUUUUUUUUUU